CAACGAAACGGGUUUGCCGUAGGUGAACCUGCGGAAGGUCAUUAC
rnacentral:rRNA from 1 species